GUCCACACCUUAAACGUUGGGCGCUAGGUGUGGGGUCCAUUCCACGGAUUCCGUGCCGCAGCUAACGCAUUAAGCGCCCCGCCUGGGGAGUACGGCCGCAAGGCUAAAACUCAAAGGAAUUGACGGGGGCCCGCACAAGCGGCGGAGCAUGCGGAUUAAUUCGAUGCAACGCGAAGAACCUUACCUGGGUUUGACAUAUGCCUGAAAGCCCCCAGAGAUGGGGGCCCCUUUUAGUCGGUAUACAGGUGGUGCAUGGGCUGUCGU
rnacentral:rRNA from 1 species